GCCAUCGUAUGACCAACGUUAAAGCCAAGAUUGGCCGAAUAUUAGGCCGAUGCAGCACCCGUUGUGUUGCUAGCGUAGUACCAGUGCUGAGCCAUAUCGUUGCGAUUAUUAAUUCCAGCUUUCGGCUAAUGCCCUUUGCAUGACGAAUAUUGUAAAUGCGCUGGCUCUAGAGUACGCAUCCAUUAUUACCACGAACAUUUUCCAGGAGGC
rnacentral:lncRNA from 1 species